rnacentral:tRNA from 3 species
CGAGGUGUGGCUCAGUUUGGCUAGAGCACCUGGUUUGGGACCAGGGGGUCGCAGGUUCGAAUCCUGUCACCUCGA